rnacentral:lncRNA from 1 species
GCUCCUUUACCUCAGUGCCGGAGUGCUUCAUAGUGCUACUUUGUUGGUUAGUAAAGAGGGCUGAAAUCCUCUCCAGAUCCCCGGGAUUAAAUUCUCAGCAGGACCUCCCUAUGCUGUGGUGCUAAGGAGUGCGUUCAGAUUACCUGGGAAAGGAGGCCAACCCCCGUCCUGCUUGCAGAAGGGUAGCACUCUUGAAUAGAAUAAAGCCCUGAGCAUUGGGUGAAAUCGCUGUGGGUUUGUGCCCACAUAAUGCAGGUGGGUUUGAGGACGCGUGUUCCUAUUGGGAAGAUUUGAAGGGAUAGUAUUUGCUACUCAGGUGAUGGAAGGUGGUUUGGGAAUCAACCUCAGGAGCAGUGCUAAAGGCAGAG